GAGUUUGAUCAUGGCUCAGGAUGAACGCUGGCGGCGUGCCUAACACAUGCAAGUCGAGCGAUUUACUUCGGUAAAGAGCGGCGGACGGGUGAGUAACGCGUGGGUAACCUGCCUCAUACACAUGGAUAACAUACCGAAAGGUAUGCUAAUGCAGGAUGAUAUAAGAGAUUCACAUGGAUUUUUUAUCAAAGCUCCGGCGGUAUGAGAUGGACCCGCGUCUGAUUAGCUAGUUGGUAAGGUAAUGGCUUACCAAGGCGACGAUCAGUAGCCGACCUGAGAGGGUGAUCGGCCACAUUGGAACUGAGACACGGUCCAAACUCCUACGGGAGGCAGCAGUGGGGAAUAUUGCACAAUGGGCGAAAGCCUGAUGCAGCAACGCCGCGUGAGUGAUGAAGGCCUUCGGGUCGUAAAACUCUGUCCUCAAGGAAGAUAAUGACGGUACUUGAGGAGGAAGCCCCGGCUAACUACGUGCCAGCAGCCGCGGUAAUAC
rnacentral:rRNA from 1 species